AGUCACAAAUGUUCGUCGUAGGAGGAGAUUCGAUUUUGUGUAAGAUGUAUGGAUAAGCUGACUGUUGGGUUAUGACAGCGAUUUCGAAACGAUAUUCAGAUGCAAAACUAUUAAAGGUUGGAGGUUCAAAGACACAAAGCAACGAACGAGGAAUGAAUACAAGUCUCUGGGAUGGGAAGGAAAGACUAUAGAGAACUUGAAG